AGAAGAAGGAAAAAGAUCCAUGAACCAAUAGGGAGGGAUUAAUGGCCGAACAAGUUGGACCAUGGUCAUCUAAGGAUUCUUCGAAAGCUUCUUCGAGCAUGCAUCGCUAAAUCUCAAAAUCGUCUUCUUCCAUCACCCCACCUUCGGUCUCACGUCCCAACUCCACAAGCAAAAAGGGGAAACGGGGCAGUGGGGAGGCCAAGGGUGAGGACGGCGCCGAGGUCGUUGCUCUCCUACGAUCUCACACCUC
rnacentral:lncRNA from 1 species